UACGGAGGGAGCUAGCGUUGUUCGGAAUUACUGGGCGUAAAGCGCGCGUAGGCGGCUUUGUAAGUUAGAGGUGAAAGCCCGGGGCUCAACCCCGGAAUUGCCUUUAAGACUGCAUCGCUAGAAUCCGGGAGAGGUGAGUGGAAUUCCGAGUGUAGAGGUGAAAUUCGUAGAUAUUCGCAAGAACACCAGUGGCGAAGGCGGCUCACUGGCCCGUAACUGACGCUGAGGCACGAAAGCGUGGGGAGCAAACAGG
rnacentral:rRNA from 1 species